rnacentral:misc_RNA from 1 species
CCUCCGUCUCUCUAUGAUGGCCCGCUCCUACCGCUCCGUUUCGUUGGCACCAAAUCCGCAUCUUUGUUUUCUUUCCUGUAGUCCUUCCUUUUAUUUUACAUCGUUGUGUGGGCGAAGCACAGAUUUGUGUGUCUCGUUAUGCCUCCGUUAGCAAUUAUCUAUGUCUCUCUGUCUGUCUGUGCGUGCUUGUGUGCGUGAUUGUCGCUGUCGCGGUGUGUACGCUCCUACGCCUCUUGCAAGGGGCUGCGAUACCCCACUGCCCACACCGUUCUCAGCAGCAGCCGCACUCAGCUUCACCCCUUCUUGUCCACCACCUCAAAAAAAAAAAACAAUAAAGAAAAUGGAAAGUUAGUGCCUCAUUUCGACUUCUCUCUGUGUUCUUCGCUGUUUUUUUUUUUGUUUUCGUCCGUCUUUUCAAGCUGUAGGUAUGCAAAACACUCAAAGGCACACACCACACCACGCACAAAACACACGCGCUUUGCGCGCUUCUUGGCACAGUGAUGUGCACAAGCUCCUCCGCUGCCGAGCUCAGCACACAUCCGUCGUGACUAAUGUCCUUGUGACAAGCUGCUGUGACAACGGAGUGUUUUGUUUUUCCUUCGUAGGCAGCAGGCUUGUGCCAUCUGCGGUGCUUCUCUCCAGCUUCUCUGGGUGCCGAGGGCCGAACAGCAUGCUUCCUCGCUUCUGGUGGUCGAAUUGAAAGGCUGUCACACACAUCGCCUUCCGCUGAUGUCGAGUCGAGUCUUUCUGUCUCUCUCUUCAUUGCUGGUGCGUUUUUUUUUUCGCAUCUCUUCCUUUGCACGGCGCGCCCCUUGUGGCCCCCUGCUGCCUGUGCUGGUCCCCUCACGGAUAUACUGCGCAUCUGCCUCUCUUACUAUUCACACAG